AUACGCACACACAUCAGAAAAAGUAAAAGAAAGAAAGAAGAAAGGGAAGAGAGGAGAGGGGAGCCGCGGGAAAUGAAAGGAAGACGGGAAGAGGAAGGACGGCGCCGGCGGGCGUCACUGCCGCUGCGCCGCCGUGUUGCACAGAGGAUGGAGAGAGCGCGAAGAGCAGAGGGAAGAGAGAAAAAGAACGCGCGCGAGGAAGUUUAGCCGUGGGAAAAGGAGGCGCGCGUUUGACCCGUCACCGCCGGUCCGUCCAUCCCGACCUGUCAUCGACGCGAGGAAGACCAGAAUCGAGGGAGAGAGAGAGAGAGCCACACGAGGAGGAGAAGUCACCGUCGCCGUUUAUCCUCCUCGCUGCCAGAUGCCGUCGCCGUUUGCGAGAGGGAGAGAGACGCGCUACAAGGGAGCUGCCGCCGUGGAGUGUGUCGCCGUUGUGAAGCUGCCGCCACCAGAUCCGCCGCUGCCGAAGCUUAUGGUCGAGCCUUUGCCGCUGGAUCUCCACCCUGCUGCUGUUGCCGCCAGAAACCGCCACUGAAGCCUGUGUCGUUUGGAGUUUAUCGCGAGUUGCCGCUGCCGGAGCCACCACCGGAGCUACUUCCGUUCAGUUCAGCUGUUCUUCCUUAUUAUAAUAGGUAUCUCUAUUUCGAAACCCUUAUCGCUAGUUAUAAGAGUUUUCUGUUAUGUUUGGUUAUAAACUGGUUCUGGUAACGUAGGUUCCCCCUUUGUAUCUUGCAUGUCACUUUUAAGUUGCUGUGAUUGCUGCGAAAGUGAUCAUGGACUGAGGUUUCGGGCCGAGAGAAAAGAGUUCCAUUGACGUAUUUGGUUUAUGAUUUUGACUUGUUGAGGUAGGGGCUUUAUAUAAAAACUAAUUUAUUUUAAAUUGGAGAUUUUUUAUUGGUUUGGUUUUGAAAUGAUUUUAAUACUUGAAAGUCUAAAUUUCGUUUUAUUGGAAUCUGAUUUGGUUUUGAACCCAUUAGAAAGGGUUGAGGAUUGGUUUGGUUGGGACCAAAAAGGGUGGCAAAGUCCAAGUUUUAAGGGAGGUGUUGCCAAAUUUUCUAUAAAAUCUGAAACUUUUUUGAAAUGUUAUUUAGAAAAGUUUUGAAUUUGAGAAAUCGUAUUAUACGAUUUAUUAAGAAAAUGGUUAUGUUUCGAAUUUAAUUUAUUUGAGAAAAACAUAUGUCUCGAGUUUGAUUUAUUCAGAAAAGAAUUUCUUUACGAUUUUAAAUUACUUAAGAAAAGUAUUAUAUUCUAAUAUCAAUUUUAUAUAAACAUGGCUUAUAUUUUGAUUGAAUGAUGCCAUUUUGUGAUAUUUUGGAAAAAGUUGAAAGAAUUGGUUUCAAGAAAAAAAUUUGGAUUGGAUCUUGGGAUUUAAAUUGUUUCGAAACUUCUAAAUCAUAUGUUUUGGUUUUGAUUUGGUUUAGAAACUUCCUUUAAAAAAUUCAAAUUAAGAGCACAAUGAUUUCUAAGAAUCUUUACUAAAUUUAAGAAAAUAAGGUCGAUUAUUUUUUCCUAAAGUCUUGAGACCUUGUUGUGGAUUUUAAUUAAUAACUUUUGAUUUUAAAGUGAUUGAUCGAAUGGUUUGAAAAUGAAUGAUUUUGAGUAUUUCAUAAGAGAUUUUGAAUUUGGCAUGGUUUUGAAGUUGUUUGGAAGUUUUGAAAAGAGGUUGCGGAAAGUGGCUUUGUUUUGAAAAAGAAAAAUUUACUUGAGAAAAGUGGUUCUUUGCAAGAUGUGAACUCAAUACGUUUGUUAUUGGAUGUAAAUGGGUCAAGAAUGAUUUUGAUUAUGGUAUGAGCCUAAUUGAUUGUGUAUAUUACUGAGAUUGUUGAUAAGUCAUUUGCACCUGGCAAGGACGGUGGUUAAUCCCGCUUGUCGAGGUUGCGGCGCCGGCGUAAGGACGGUGGUUAAUCCCACUUGUAUGAUGUGAAGUCGGAGGCAGAAUAUCCCACUCACAUCCUUUCAGAAUCACAAGAGUGUGCAGGCACUAUAUCCUGGACCAUGUGCUGGGCACAUUAUCCCAGGGAAUUCCCAUUUAUUCGUGACUGAAAGACGACAUCUCCAUAGGGAUGUGUCGGGUUGGCAGUUGAACUGACAUGUGAUAUCACAGCCAGUAGGACAGACAUUCAUCAUUUUCAUCUAUGUGACAUUUUUUGGGUGUGCAUAUUGUAAUUGAUUUGCUUAUGUGAAUACUUAUGUUAACUGCUAACUGUUAUAUUCAUUGUAAUUGUUCUUGAUUGUGCUUAAACUACAUUAAUUGUGAUUGUGUUUGAUUGAUUAGUUUGUGAUGAAUUGGUUGAUGAUUGAGUUGUUUGGGCUGGGGGCUGUGUUGGUUUUGGAUGGGAAUGAGGCCGUGAUUGGUAUGUUUGAGGUCUAAUUCUUUAUAAAGUAUCUGACUGGUUUAUCAUAGACUUAAUGAACCUAUGCUUGGAAUAGGAUGAUCAUUUAUACUGCAUAGGUAACUUCUUUUAUAUUCAUGGUCUAGUAAAAUAUGAAAAAUCAAAAUCUUACGGCAUAGACUUAAUUGAACAUAUGCUUGGGACAGGUUGGUCAUUCAUAUUGUCUAGGAAAACUUGAGGUUUUACCAGAAAGAAAAAAGGUUUUGAAUUUUGAGGAAUUAACAAAGUUCUCUUUUAAAAAGGAUUUUUGGAUUUUUAAAUGUGAACCUAGAUAUUUGAGAAGAUACAUAAGACGAACAAUGAAUAACUGUACUUUAAAAAUAGUUUUAUUUUACGUAUCUUAUUAUAGCAAUUCUGUAAUCCUAUAGUGAACGAUGUUCUCACUCCCCUACAGGUUUUUUCUUUUUCAAGAUAUGGGCGACGAAGCUUCAGAAGAGCUUAUUCAUUUUCUGUUUAUUCGAUAUUUUUGUAUUAUCUUAGUUAUUUUUUUCUCUCGCCUUUUUCUUUAUUAAUUUUGUAAGAGAGAUAGGAAUAUGUGAUAUAUAUGUUUGUAAGUUAUGGUUA